AAAAAUGGUUGUCUCGGAUUUGAAGAGGACUAAUUCAAACAGGAAAUCAAAUGGAAUGCCAAUGAAGAUGCUCAUAGCCCAAGAAAUGUCCAAGGAAGUAGGUUCUGGUCAUAAUCCACCUAGUGUUGUUGCUAAGCUGAUGGGGCUUGAUGCUUUUCCGCAGAAAUCUGUUCCAGCUAUAAGAAAUCAUUUUGGAGGUCAUUCACGGUGUCAUACAGAUUCCUCUUUCAGCUAUUGCCAGGAAGAAAAUGAAUCCUUGACGGAAGAACUGCAGCAAGAAUUACAUCAAUACCCCGAGCAGAAUGAAUAUAAAGAUGUUUAUGAAGUUUGGCGGCACCCCCCAAAAAUGAACUCUGUGAGAAGUGAAUCCCCACAAAAGGCAAGACACGAUGAUCAAAUUAGUUUUGAAAAGAAGUCAGCUUUUGUUCGUCAGAAGUUUAUUGAAGCAAAAUGUUUAUCCAUAGAUGAACAACUUCGCCAGUCUAAGGAAUUCCAAGAUGCAUUGGAUGUCUUAAGUUCCAACACGGAUCUGUUCCUCAAGUUUCUGCAAGAACCAAAUCCAAUGUUUACUCAGCAUUUAUCCAAUUUGCAGUCUAUACCUCCUCCUCCUGAGACGAAGCGAAUAACUGUUCUAAGACCAUCAAAGAUGAUUGAUGAUUGUAAAUUUAGUGGAUCAGUGAAGAAAAAUGAGAAAGAUAUAAGCAGAGCCAUCCAUAUAGUCCAGGGCAACAAGGCCAAAUCUCAUAUGACAUUUUCUCCUCCUAUAGCAAAUUGGAACAUUCACGAAAAUCAUGCUCAACCUACACGGAUAGUCGUAUUAAAACCAAGUCUUGGUAAGACUCACAACUUUAUUGAUGCAAGUUCUUCUCCAUCUGCAUCACCAAGAGUAUCACAAACUGAAACAAGUUUUGUCCACAUGGAGGUUGAUGAAGCUCAAGAAUCAAGAGAAGUGGCAAAGGCUAUUACACAGCACAUGCGAGUAAACAUAGGUGGACAUCAAAGGGAUGAAACAUUACUUUCUUCUGAAUUUGCAAAUGGCUACAUUGGUGAUGAAAGCUCAUUUAAUAAAUCUGAAAAACAAUAUGCAGCUGGAAAUGUCAGUGAUUCUGAAGUCAUGUCACCAGCUUCUAGGCACUCAUGGGAAUAUAUCAAUAGGUUUGGCAGCCCUUAUUCUUGUUCCUCCUUGAGCCGUGCUUCUUAUUCCCAUGAAUCUUCAGUUUCCAGAGAAGCCAAGAAGCGACUCUCGGAGAGAUGGGCGAUGGUGGCAUCUAAUGGCAGUUGUCAAGAACAAAGACAAAUGAGAAGAAGCAACAGCAGCACUUUAGGUGAAAUGCUUGCUCUUUCUGAUAUUAAGACGACCAGAAGCAUAGAGCAGGACAAUAUUAAAGAAGAUCCCCAGAUUUCAAAUUCCAACUCUCCGAGUAAUUCCAAAGAUGAUGAAGAAACUGUGACAGGAGAAAAUGACCUUUCCAAGCAUACAACAAAAUCUAGAAGUACAAAAUCAUCAUUGAAAGGGAAGUUCUCAAAUCUUUUUUUCUCUAGAGCCAAAAAGCCAAACAAAGAUAGAGCCAAGUGUCUGCAAUCCAAUGAUGACUUGCACUCUGGUCCAAAGCCUUUACGUUCUCUAUCAGAAAUUGACAAAUACAGUGGUCAAUUCCUUGAUGAUCCAGGGGCUGAGUGCUCAAGAACCAAUCUUCGUGAAUCAUCAUGUGCACUAACUUGCGAAGAUUUGGUUGAGAAGCAAACCACAAUCUCUCCUGAGGUUGUGUUCUCU
rnacentral:misc_RNA from 1 species